GCAGUUUGAUCAUCCGUGGUUCUUUGCGGUUCACUCUGCCUGCACUUCCCCGCAUCAUUCCGCCCCGGGUGACGAAGGUUACGGGAAUGUGGCUCCUCCGGGAGUGUUAUAGCCCGUUGCGUAAUACCCUGGGACGGACUG
rnacentral:rRNA from 1 species